rnacentral:snoRNA from 1 species
AGGGAUGAUGAACUUUUGCUUUGCUGAUUAUGAUGAACACGCCCUUCUCUGACCU